UACGUAGGGGGCAAGCGUUGUCCGGAAUCAUUGGGCGUAAAGAGCGUGUAGGCGGUCCGUUAAGUCGGCUGUGAAAGUCCAAGGCUCAACCUUGGGAUGCCGGUCGAUACUGCCGGACUAGAGUUCGGAAGAGACGAGUGGAAUUCCCGGUGUAGCGGCGAAAUGCGCAGAUAUCGGGAGGAACACCUAUGGCGAAGGCAGCUCGCUGGGACGUUACUGACGCUGAGACGCGAAAGCGUGGGGAGCAAACAGG
rnacentral:rRNA from 1 species